GACGAACGCUGGCGGCGUGCUUAACACAUGCAAGUCGAACGGAAAGGCCCUGCUUUUGUGGGGUGCUCGAGUGGCGAACGGGUGAGUAACACGUGAGUAACCUGCCCUUGACUUUGGGAUAACUUCAGGAAACUGGGGCUAAUACCGGAUAGGAGCUCCUGCUGCAUGGUGGGGGUUGGAAAGUUUCGGCGGUUGGGGAUGGACUCGCGGCUUAUCAGCUUGUUGGUGGGGUAGUGGCUUACCAAGGCUUUGACGGGUAGCCGGCCUGAGAGGGUGACCGGCCACAUUGGGACUGAGAUACGGCCCAGACUCCUACGGGAGGCAGCAGUGGGGAAUAUUGCACAAUGGGCGGAAGCCUGAUGCAGCAACGCCGCGUGCGGGAUGACGGCCUUCGGGUUGUAAACCGCUUUCGCCUGUGACGAAGCGUGAGUGACGGUAAUGGGUAAAGAAGCACCGGCUAACUACGUGCCAGCAGCCGCGGUGAUACGUAGGGUGCGAGCGUUGUCCGGAUUUAUUGGGCGUAAAGGGCUCGUAGGUGGUUGAUCGCGUCGGAAGUGUAAUCUUGGGGCUUAACCCUGAGCGUGCUUUCGAUACGGGUUGACUUGAGGAAGGUAGGGGAGAAUGGAAUUCCUGGUGGAGCGGUGGAAUGCGCAGAUAUCAGGAGGAACACCAGUGGCGAAGGCGGUUCUCUGGGCCUUUCCUGACGCUGAGGAGCGAAAGCGUGGGGAGCGAACAGGCUUAGAUACCCUGGUAGUCCACGCUGUAAACGGUGGGUACUAGGUGUGGGGUCCAUUCCACGGGUUCCGUGCCGUAGCUAACGCUUUAAGUACCCCGCCUGGGGAGUACGGCCGCAAGGCUAAAACUCAAAGGAAUUGACGGGGCCCCGCACAAGCGGCGGAGCAUGCGGAUUAAUUCGAUGCAACGCGUAAAACCUUACCUGGGUUUGACAUGGAUCGGGAGUGCUCAGAGAUGGGUGUGCCUUUUUUGGGGUCGGUUCACAGGUGGUGCAUGCCUGUCGUCAGCUCGUGUCGUGAGAUGUUGGGUUAAGUCCCGCAACGAGCGCAACCCUUGUUCACUGUUGCCAGCACGUUAUGGUGGGGACUCAGUGGAGACCGCCGGGGUCAACUCGGAGGAAGGUGGGGAUGACGUCAAGUCAUCAUGCCCCUUAUGUCCAGGGCUUCACGCAUGCUACAAUGGCUGGUACAGAGAGUGGCGAGCCUGUGAGGGUGAGCGAAUCUCGGAAAGCCGGUCUCAGUUCGGAUUGGGGUCUGCAACUCGACCUCAUGAAGUCGGAGUCGCUAGUAAUCGAAGAUCAGCAACGCUGCGGUGAAUACGUUCCCGGG
rnacentral:rRNA from 1 species